UGCAUUAGGGAGUAAGAAGUAUAGUUUCAGCUCUGGUAAUCCUGAUAAUUUGUCUCUACUAUAACAUUUGCUAUAUACUUUAUAUUGUAGCAUGCCCAGAUUUGUGGAUCCGGGAUUCCAGACAGUUGUUGUAACCUAGGAUUGUACCACAGCGGAGUAAAACCUGAGCAAUGCUGUUGCGAACUAGGAUAAAAUUGAAGUAUAGACUACCAGGCCCAGAGAGAAAGCUUUGGUGGUGUAAGUGGUACCACUGUAUGAAUCCUAAAUCUGAUCAGGAGGUGUUUUGACAUACAAUGGAUGUGAGAAGGUGCCUAUCUAUUUACCUGGAAAGGAUGAAACCUGUUAGAAAGUCUCAAAUACAGUACCCUAAGGCUGGAGGUGCAGCUUUCUGUAGCCUGGGAGAACCAGUUCAGAUCUGAAUAUGAAAGAAAGUGUGAUUUUUUGUUUGGUGAUGGAAACUGGAGGAGGUUGGUCCAGGACCAAGACUUUUCUGGGAUGUUCAUUUGGGUUGAUGGUGGGGGAAGGAAAGUUGUAUGAACAAACCAAGACUUUGCAAACUGCCUUUUGAUUUGGUGUGUUUGGUGGAAAGUUGCCAAUGGACAGAGGGAUGUACUUUGCAGGCUGGAGGGUUUAUGGGUAGGUUUGUGUGAUUUUGGUUUGUUUUGUUGUAUGAUUUGUGAACUGUUUAGGAAAUGUUGAUUAUUUACGGUAAAGUGAUUUUAUAAAUAAAAAAAAUCCUAUUCCCUGGUUAGCCUUUCGCCAUCUAGAAAAUUUAAGUCUAAGGUAGAAGGUCACUCCACUGGGGACUCUGGAGAAGUGGAAUUCUAUGUACAUAAAUUAUACAAAUAAAAGGUUUUGGCCCAGUAGAAACAUCCCGUUUGCUCAAUAGUAAAUGUACAGCCCAUGACAAACACUAGUGCUGUGAGGGAUGUUACGGCCUAGAGUCUAUCCGAGCCAUUGUAUUUACCUUUCAAAUUAAAGUGAGGCAGUGGAGACAUUUUGAUCAUUAUAGCCUUUGCUGAGACGCAUAUGGCAGUGAAACACCCACGUGCCAUUUAAAUCAACUUUCAGUAUCAUGAACUGGUUUUCUUUAUUUAGCUUUUAAUUCAGUCGCUCUUAAAUAUGAAAUUUCUACAGCUGCGUGCUAAGGUCUUAGUUCCCUUAGCAACCAGGUAGUGGUAUGAUUGAGAAACUGGAAGAUGAAUAUAAGAAAGAUAAGUAAUAAAAAGUAACAAUAAUAUUAAAAUUGCAGCCUUAAAGAACAGUUGUUUAUUGGUUGCUGGGGGCGAGUGCCCCUAAUGACCAGAAAGCAUAUUCAUUUGUACAACUAGAAAAAGGUAGAAACGGAAGGCAAAAAAUUUAAAAACAAUAACAAAUAAAGUCCAAUCAAAUUUGCUAAGAAUAGGGUAUUCUAUAUCUAUAUAUCAGGUAGCCUCCCUGUGACAUCUGAUUAAGGCUAUUGCCCAAGGCAUGGAGUGUAUUUGCCAAUAAAAGGGAUUUUGCAAUGUGGAGUGACACAGUGGUAAUGAGUCAGGGGAUACUGCUUGUUCAUUUUUAUUUUAAUGGCGGGGUUUAAAGGCAGAAAUUCAAGGGAUUCAAUAUAUGUAGGGUUCACUGACGAGAGCCGGCACUACUGUAAGAAAUGCAAAACUCCUUUUAUUGGGUUGCUUAUAAAGGCAUUUUCCUUAUGGGGGUCAGUAUAUAGGGUCAUUUAUUCACCGGGCUCAAUGUGCAUAGUUAUGUGCAAUGUGCAUAGUCACGGCGACUUUUUUGUCUCUGUGCCAAUUUUGUCGCGGCGCCUUUUUUGUUGUGGCGAUAUUUUUCAUGGUGGAUUUUUGCAAAAAAAUUUGCAGAUGGUGAAGUGUGGAAUUUCGCAAUGAAUCCAUGCCUAGCGAAAAAAUGUGCCCAUCACUAAACGUAUUGUUUAUACAAAAAUGUUCUUUCAUCUGAUCAACACUUUGCAUAAUAAAUACUUAAAUACUGAUUUCUUUUAGCUUAAUUAUGUUGUUAUUCAUGCGGAUUUCUGUCAUGCUAUAGAUAUUAGACAUUCUUGUACAGGUAUGGGAUACAUUAUUCGGAAACCCGUUAUCCAGAAAGCUCCAAAUUACAG